rnacentral:rRNA from 1 species
UAAUACAUGCAAGUCGAACGGUCUUUCUAUGGAAGCUUGCUUCCACUGAGAAGAUAGUGGCGAACGGGUGAGUAACACGUGGGUAACCUGCCCAUAAGAGGGGGGAUAACAUCCGGAAACGGGUGCUAAUACCGCAUAGUUUCUUGAUCGCAUGAUCGGGAAGGAAAGACGGCCUUUGUGCUGUCGCUUAUGGAUGGACCCGCGGCGUAUUAGUUAGUUGGUGAGGUAACGGCUCACCAAGACGAUGAUACGUAGCCGACCUGAGAGGGUGAUCGGGCCACAUUGGGACUGAGACACGGCCCAAACUCCUACGGGAGGCAGCAGUAGGGAAUCUUCCGCAAUGGACGAAAGUCUGACGGAGCAACGCCGCGUGAGUGAAGAAAAGGUUUUCGGAUCGUAAAACUCUGUUGUCAGAGAAGAACAAGUUGGAGAGUAACUGCUCCAGCCUUGACGGUAUCUGACCAGAAAGCCACGGCUAACUACGUGCCAGCAGCCGC